rnacentral:rRNA from 1 species
UACGGAGGGUGCAAGCGUUAUCCGGAUUCACUGGGUAUAAAGGGUGCGUAGGUGGGCAGGUAAGUCAGUGGUGAAAUCUCCGAGCUUAACUCGGAAACUGCCGUUGAUACUAUUUGUCUUGAAUAUUGUGGAGGUAAGCGGAAUAUGUCAUGUAGCGGUGAAAUGCUUAGAUAUGACAUAGAACACCAAUUGCGAAGGCAGCUUACUACACAACGAUUGACGCUGAGGCACGAAAGCGUGGGGAUCAAACAGG